AUAUAUAUAUAUAUAUAUAUAUAUAUAAUUAUUUCUAAUUGAAAUAAUUAUGAUUUUAUAUAAAUAUGCUUACUUGUUAUGUUGUAUAAUUAAGUAUGCAUUUUAACUUCGUCACUAUGAAUGGUUACCGUGGAAACAAUAUAGUAUACAAAAAUAGCCUUCAAGAGUGAUUGAUACAAAUAUGAAAAGAUUACUGUGUCAUAAAAGAUAUCAAUAAUUAUGCAAGCUUUAAAAUUAGUGGUAAUUGGACCAUUGGAGCUGAUGCUUCAGAAAUUCCUUACAAUUACCAUCCAACAUAUGGUGUAAGAAUACUAGAAGCAGAAGCACAAGGCAUUAUAGUAAAUAAUAAAACUAUUUCAAAAGAUAUUGAAAUAUGGGAUUGUAGUGGCGAUUAUAAGUAUGCAAAUUAAGUACAUUAUAUAUUUUAAACUUGAAGUGGAUUAUCUAUUCUUGUAAUUUAUGCAUGUUACAGAUUUAAAACUUGUUGGCCUGCUAUAAGGAAAGAUUUGCAUGGUGUGAUGUUAAUAUAUAAUGCAAAAAAACAAAAUUGUUUAAAAGAAAUGCAAGAGUUCUAUGAUUACUUUGUUACACAGACUAAAUUAGGUCCUGACAUGUGUGUAAUAUUCUGUUAUGAUCCUGACAGAAUUCUAUCUGAAUUACCGAAAUCGAUCUGUAAGUGUAAAAAUAAGAAAAACGAAUGAUUAAUUGUAAUUAAAAAAAAAAAAAUAAUAAUUUAUUUACUUAUACAGCUUCCACAUUUCCCAAAGUAUCACAUGUUAGAUGUGACAUAGAAGAAAGUGGUAAUAAAUUACAAGCUGACUUUCGUUUAUUUUUAAGUUCACUUAUGACUAAAAUGCAAGACUAUUUGGAUCAAGAA